GCAUGGGAGGACUGGGAAAAAAGCAGGGACAGACAAAAAUUUGGGGAUCACUUCACUUUCUCUACAUUCAAACUGCAAACCAAAUUUAACAUCAUCCUUACAAAAAGAAGAGAAAAACCUUGUAUAAACCAAGAUAAAUAGCUUUCAAAUAUUUGAAUGCCAAAGGAAUUAAAGGACCAAACCCAAGGUUUUGAAGAUAGCACAGAGAAUGACCUUUUAAAAAAAUUUAAAAUCCACCAAACCACAGCUUAAAUGUUUUGACCCGGUCAACAAUACUGUCAGAAAAACAAAAAGAGCAUUUAAAACAGAAUGCUACCUCUCAAAAUGUAAACAAUAUACAAAAAAAAAAAAAACAAAAACACAUACACCCCACAAAAACUCAAUGUUAAAGAAGUUAGAUAUCUGGUAGCUCACCUUUAACUGGGAACAACUGGUUACACUUUUCAUACACAUUAUGAGGGACAUGAUCAGCAGACCAAAUGGCAGGAAGCUGGAGAGAGCCCAGGGCUGUGGAGGCCCCGAGGACAGCCUGCCAAGAUCGGGAGUUGCUGGUCCCGACCAGGAGCAGAUUCAAAUUUUCAUUCUUGAUUAGAAGAUGGGGAAAUCAAGUCCAAACAUUAUUCCUACUACCCCCUCCCUAAGUGAAAUCUGUUUUCUCCAUGAGCCACUUGGUACAAGUUCUUCCCCAAGUCACUUCGCGGUCUUGCCCAGAGAUACCUACAGCCCCGUUCGGGGGCCAGGGCAGCUGUCCGGCCCGUUUGCCUCUCCGGAAGGGUUCUGACAGCUCAGCAGAGUCCAAGAACAUGGUUUCCAUUACACCUGACCUAAAUGCUGUGCAUCGGGCACAGAGAUGUUGCCGGCUCCUGCUUCAGAAGCUGAGCUUGACCAGGUUGAACAAAGCCGAAGAAACCAAUCCAUUCAUUCAAAAUGGUUCCACAAAAUUUCUUUCCAUUUGCAGAGUUAUCUACAAGUUUCACCACAUCUCAUCCCAAGUCCCCAGUUCCUGGGGAGGAGGUGAGAAGACGCAGGGAUGUACCUCCCCCAGCACAGGGUUGUUUUCUCUCCUGACCAGGCCAGACUGCUCUGAUGGCCUCACAAAAGGACGCAGUUCUGAGGCCUCAGUAGCAGGCUCAGAAGGUGGUAGAGAUCCUGAAGGAAGCAGCCAGAUGCCACUCCUGAGGAGGCCUGUGGUAGCAGAUAUGCAAAAAGUCUAUGCAUCAAGGAAACACAGCUCCAAGGUUGGGCCAGGUUGAACUGCACAUCAGGCCUCCAAAUUGUAUUUCCCAGGUCAGAUCCUCAAGUGACUCAGAAGCAACCUCAGGCUUGGGUGGCACACUCCAAAGGGGAGGGCGGGGUACACCAUUCCUGCUGGCCACAACCAUCCAGGUGGCACAUUACUGCAUGGAAGCCUCGGGGCUUGAAGAGGUAUCUCUGUAAGGAGCGCCCCAGGCCCCAGCUAAAAGCUCACCUACAAAUGAGAAUGCCUGGGAGAAGAUCUGAAGGAAGUAAAUGGAUGGAGGGCACAAGACCUCAUUCGAUAGUCAUCAGCUUUUCUGGAGUUUUCUCAAGGGGAAAUGACCAUGUAAGCAUGAGGGUCCUGUUAUAUCCAGAGGUGCUUUCUAGUUCCUCUUCACUCAGUGGGAGACAGGCUUCAUUCACAGAGAUGAUGUCUGCACUCCAGGGGCCGCAAAGAGCCUGGGGCUUGGGUGAUGAUCAUGGGGUUCUCUGAGUACCAGCGGUCACCCACCCCUGACCAUCCGGUGAGGAUGAACUCAUUCCCCUCUGAGAUCUUUGAUUCUGUUCCAAGAUGCCUGACGGUGACCUGGAGCAUGCCUUUGGGAGGGACAGCAUUUAGAUGGAGGAACUAUGUAACAUUUCACUUGGAGCCNNNNNNNNNNNNNNNNNNNNNNNNNNNNNNNNNNNNNNNNNNNNNNNNNNNNNNNNNNNNNNNNNNNNNNNNNNNNNNNNNNGGCGUCUAACCUCUUCUCCUCCGGCACCAGAGCAUCUCGCUCUGAGAGGCCCCUUCGCUGGGUCUGUGGGUGCUUCUUUAAUUGAGGGACUGGAGAGCAGAGCAGGGAUGGAGAUGGUGGAUAGGGUGAUGACAUAAAUCAUUAUAAAUAGCAAAUCUGGAGCAAUGAAAUUUCAGAAACAAAACCCAAAUAAACCCAGAAAAUCAUCUCUAGCCCCAAGGUAUCUUACGACGUUACAAGGUAACAAAAAGGAAACACCUUUUUAACCUAGGUCAAAGCGGGGGGAAUCAAGGGUAAGCAGAUGAGGCUACAUCCUGUGAGCACACGCACGCAUGGCACAUCCCCUCCCCUCCUGCUAGAGUCUCUCUCAGUGUCACAGGCUGAAG
ensembl:lncRNA